rnacentral:rRNA from 1 species
GGGCCAGACUCCUACGGGAGGCAGCAGUGAGGAAUAUUGGUCAAUGGGCGAGAGCCUGAACCAGCCAAGUCGCGUGAAGGAUGACGGCCCUACGGGUUGUAAACUUCUUUUGUCAGGGAGCAAUUGAGUCCACGUGUGGGCUUAGCGAGAGUAUCUGAAGAAAAAGCAUCGGCUAACUCCGUGCCAGCAGCCGCGGUAAUACGGAGGAUGCGAGCGUUAUCCGGAUUUAUUGGGUUUAAAGGGUGCGUAGGCGGAAUGCCAAGUCAGGGGUAAAAUCGCGGGGCUCAACCUCGCUCCGCCGUUGAAACUGGCGUUCUUGAGUGGGCGAGAAGUAUGCGGAAUGCGUGGUGUAGCGGUGAAAUGCAUAGAUAUCACGCAGAACUCCGAUUGCGAAGGCAGCAUACCGGCGCCCAACUGACGCUGAAGCACGAAAGCGUGGGUAUCGAACAGGAUUAGAUACCCUCGUACC